CGAAAGAUGGCGGCCUUGACAUCAGAGCAUUUCGUGGCGCUCCAGAGCCUGCUGAAGUCUCUCUGCCACGCCUAGUGGACCUGGACUGGAGAGUGGAUAUCAAAACCUCGUCUGACAGCAUCAGCCGCAUGGCCGUCCCCACCUGCCUGCUCCAGAUGAAGAUCCAGGAGGACCCUAGUCUGUGUGGAGAGAAACCCUCUAUCUCGGCUGUGACCGUGGAGCUGAGCAAAGAAACGCUGGACACCAUGUUAGAUGGGCUGGGUCGCAUUCGGGACCAGCUCUCUGCUGUAGCUAAUAAAUGAGCAAAGCCUCCAUCUCUGAGAAGGCCCUGUGUGGAGGUAAACCGCCUUCGGCCAUGCAAAGGAGCAGGUUCUUCAUCAGCCGCCUGUGCACUGCUAUAGAGAACUCAGGCCGGUGCUGGGCACUCACCUAAUGAUUUACCUCCAGCUCACAUGAGCUCGUUUCCAGCCCAGAAUACAUGAGGGAAUUGGGGAUGAUGCCAGCAGUGCCUGCUUCCCCAUCACAGACGUCAGCAGACACAUAACGAUCCCCUAAGACCCCUCUCUGAGCUUGCAGCCCUGCUGGGCCACAGCUCCAAUGCAGAAAGCUGGAACACACCACUGGCCACUAUUCCUGCGCUAGGAAGUAAGAAGAGUUGGAAAUAAAUAACAGUGAUGAUUCUG
rnacentral:lncRNA from 1 species